ensembl:lncRNA
GCUGAGAAUUAAAUCAGAUAAAAAGUCUGAGAAAUCAGACAGAAACUCUGUGUAAGGCCCAGGUGGACGAUAGAUGAUAACAAAUAGGCCUGGUUUUUGAGUUUUCCAGCUGGGGUGGACAAGGCUAAGCAUCAGGCUUUCAAAUGAAUUAAAAGUCGGUCUGGGUCUUUGGUUGAUUGAUAGGCUGGUGUUGAGGCAAGAGUAAGGCAAAGUAAAUCGAUUUGUUGAACAAUUAUUAAUUCAUGUACUAACAAAGACUUGGAAGAGAGAGAGACCUAGUGUUUAAUAAUCCACAUUUCACUGUUUUACUCUUUGGUGCAGAUGUGGAUACUUUUUGUUCUUUCUUUGUGAUUUUUUUUUAUGUUUAAGUUGUUUCUCCUCACAGGAGAGGCUGAUGGCUGAUGACAAAACACACAGACAAAACACGGACAGAUGGGACAGCUAGAUGCAACAAUGCAUCUUAGAUGAUGUGGAGUAACAGAAAAUGCUAACUUUGGGGCUUGUCGAGAAGGGAAAUUAUUUUACUGCUAUAGUUAAAUAAUUGUCAUCAUUACCAUUGCAUUAAUAAUAAAAUCUGGAGGUUCUUGAUUCAGGGGUAGAACAGUGUGUGUCUUUCAGAAAGGCUAAAAGUCACAGGCUGACAGGAAACAGGCUUGCAGAGAGUUUGCACAAGCAGGAAGUUAUUUUAAGCAACAGUAUGAUCAUUGCUUUAACAAUGUAACAGAUAGCUUUAAGAAGGCCUUAAGAUGCUUAUGCACACAGUUAUUAUGUUUAGUAGAGGACUAUAAAUAAAGUUUUGAGUUGCCGUAGUGGAUGUAGAGUAAUUGACUGAGUUUGGAUGUAGAUAUAUAAAUAUAUUGAGUGCACUGUAUAUACUUAAGACUAACACAUCACUUUCAGUAGUAACUGUUCUCCAGCAUUAGUUGCUGGUGGGUUUUAUUUUUUCAAUUUCUUGUGUGUGCGGUGAGAAUUAAUGGAGGUUUCAAUUUUUUGUUUGUUUGUUUUUUACUUGCUCUUUUUGAUUAUGACAAGCAUGUCUAAAAUACUCUUAGGAAAGUGUGUUGAGUUAUAUUCCUUAACUCUAGUCACAGUUUAAGUGUGAAUGCGGUGACUAGAAGCUUUGACAUGAUGAAUAAAGGUGUGAGAGGUAUUUCUUGGGUGAUGUAAAGUAGGACGUUUUAAAGUUUGAAAGUGUUUUUAAUUUGAGAGAGACAUGAGUGAUGUUAUAAGAGUUUAGUUUAUUUAAAAGGUGUGUGUGAGAGGAUUAUGAAAUCAUUGUGUGAAUGAUGCUACAUUUUAGGUCAAAAGUUAGUAGAAUUACAGAGGGUUUGUAGAUUGUAAAUACAAAAUAAGUUUGAUUAGCCUGGAGAAACAGCAAAGCAGCUUGAGCUGCUCUGAGCAGCUGCGUGCGGUGUG